rnacentral:sRNA from 1 species
GGAAGUCGCCGCCGCGCUCGGAGCUCCCAGGAGCCGCGUCGCCGUCGCCACCGCCGCCAGCCCGUGCGCCCUCGGCGCGUACCCGCCGCGCUCCCAUCCCCGCCGCCGGCCAGGGGCGCGCUCGGCCGCCCCGGACAGUGUCCCGCUGCGGCCCCGCGGCGAUGGCCACCAAGAUCGACAAAGAGGCUUGCCGGGCGGCGUACAACCUGGUGCGCGACGACGGCUCGGCCGUCAUCUGGUAGGAACUUUUCAUUCCUCUCCACGCCCCGCUCCCCGGGCUCGCGCGGGGCCUCGUGCACCGAGCCGGCCUCCAGGCGGGACGGAUUCUGGGCCUCCCGUGCUGUCUUCCUCGCCUUAUUCCGGGACGGCGGGCCAGGCCCCCGCGGGCUUCUCCGUGGCCAGCGCGUCUGUUAGAUUGUCCUCUGCAAGCGCCGCGUCUCGCGGCCACCAGCGCUGAUGUGUGUGUGUGUUUUUUUCUUCUCCCAACCCAAAGGGUGACUUUUAAAUAUGACGGCUCCACCAUCGUCCCCGGCGAGCAGGGAGCGGAGUACCAGCACUUCAUCCAGCAGUGCACAGAUGACGUCCGGUUGUUUGCCUUCGUGCGCUUCACCACCGGGGAUGCCAUGAGCAAGAGGUCCAAGUUUGCCCUCAUCACGUGGAUCGGUGAGAACGUCAGCGGGCUGCAGCGCGCCAAAACUGGGACGGACAAGACCC